GUACUUGUACCGACUGGAUGAGCAGCGAACGGGUGAGUAACGCGUGGGGAAUCUGCCUUUGAGCGGGGGACAACAUUUGGAAACGAAUGCUAAUACCGCAUAAGAACUUUAAACACAAGUUUUAAGUUUGAAAGAUGCAAUUGCAUCACUCAAAGAUGAUCCCGCGUUGUAUUAGCUAGUUGGUGAGGUAAAGGCUCACCAAGGCGAUGAUACAUAGCCGACCUGAGAGGGUGAUCGGCCACAUUGGGACUGAGACACGGCCCAAACUCCUACGGGAGGCAGCAGUAGGGAAUCUUCGGCAAUGGACGAAAGUCUGACCGAGCAACGCCGCGUGAGUGAAGAAGGUUUUCGGAUCGUAAAACUCUGUUGGUAGAGAAGAACGUUGGUGAGAGUGGAAAGCUCAUCAAGUGACGGUAACUACCCAGAAAGGGACGGCUAACUACGUGCCAGCAGCCGCGGUAAUACGUAGGUCCCGAGCGUUGUCCGGAUUUAUUGGGCGUAAAGCGAGCGCAGGUGGUUUAUUAAGUCUGGUGUAAAAGGCAGUGGCUCAACCAUUGUAUGCAUUGGAAACUGGUAGACUUGAGUGCAGGAGAGGAGAGUGGAAUUCCAUGGGUAGCGGUUGGGGGAAAGAAACUCCAUGUGUAGCGGG
rnacentral:rRNA from 1 species